rnacentral:rRNA from 1 species
UACGGGGGGGGUAAGCGUUGUUCGGAAUUACUGGGCGUAAAGGGCUCGUAGGCGGCCAACUAAGUCGGACGUGAAAUCCCUCAGCUUAACUGGGGAACUGCGUCCGAUACUGGAUGGCUUGGAUUUGGGAGAGGGAUGCGGAAUUCCAGGUGUAGCGGUGAAAUGCGUAGAUAUCUGGAGGAACACCAGCGGCGAAGGCGGCACUCUGGGCUGGAACUGACGCUGAGGAGCGAAAGCGUGGGGAGCGAACAGG